AGCAGUAGCCGCGGUAAUACGUAGGUGGCAAGCGUUGUCCGGAAUUAUUGGGCGUAAAGCGCGCGCAGGCGGAUAGGUCAGUCUGUCUUAAAAGUUCGGGGCUUAACCCCGUGAUGGGAAGGAAACUGCUGAUCUAGAGUAUCGGAGAGGAAAGUGGAAUUCCUAGUGUAGCGGUGAAAUGCGUAGAUAUUAGGAAGAACACCAGUGGCGAAGGCGACUUUCUGGACGAAAACUGACGCUGAGGCGCGAAAGCCAGGGGAGCGAACGGGAUUAGAUACCCCCGUAGUCCCUGUCUCUUAUACA
rnacentral:rRNA from 1 species